AUGAACGCUAGCGACAGGCCUAACACAUGCAAGUCAGGGGCAGCACAAGGAGCAAUCUGAGGUGGCGACCGGCGCACGGGUGAGUAACACGUAUGCAACCUGCCUGUAAGCGGGGAAUAACCCGUUGAAAGACGGACUAAUACCGCAUAAUACUAAAUUACUGCAUGGUAAUUUAUUUAAACAUUUAUGGCUUACAGAUGGGCAUGCGCAUGAUUAGCUAGUUGGAGAGGUAACGGCUCCCCAAGGCAACGAUCAUUAGGGGUUCUGAGAGGAGGGUCCCCCACACUGGUACUGAGACACGGACCAGACUCCUACGGGAGGCAGCAGUGAGGAAUAUUGGUCAAUGGACGAGAGUCUGAACCAGCCAAGUCGCGUGCAGGAAGAAUGUCCCUAUGGAUUGUAAACUGCUUUUGCAGGGGAAUAAAGUGCAUCACGUGUGAUGUUUUGUAUGUACUCUGCGAAUAAGGAUCGGCUAACUCCGUGCCAGCCGCCGC
rnacentral:rRNA from 1 species